UAGGGAAUCUUCGGCAAUGGGGGCAACCCUGACCGAGCAACGCCGCGUGAGUGAAGAAGGUUUUCGGAUCGUAAAGCUCUGUUGUAAGAGAAGAACGUGUGUGAGAGUGGAAAGUUCACACAGUGACGGUAACUUACCAGAAAGGGACGGCUAACUACGUGCCAGCAGCCGCGGUAAUACGUAGGUCCCGAGCGUUGUCCGGAUUUAUUGGGCGUAAAGCGAGCGCAGGCGGUUUAAUAAGUCUGAAGUUAAAGGCAGUGGCUUAACCAUUGUUCGCUUUGGAAACUGUUAAACUUGAGUGCAGAAGGGGAGAGUGGAAUUCCAUGUGUAGCGGUGAAAUGCGUAGAUAUAUGGAGGAACACCGGUGGCGAAAGCGGCUCUCUGGUCUGUAACUGACGCUGAGGCUCGAAAGCGUGGGGAGCAAACAGGAUUAGAUACCCUGGUAGUCCACGCCGUAAACGAUGAGUGCUAGGUGUUAGGCCCUUUCCGGGGCUUAGUGCCGCAGCUAACGCAUUAAGCACUCCGCCUGGGGAGUACGACCGCAAGGUG
rnacentral:rRNA from 1 species